rnacentral:rRNA from 1 species
AGCGAACGCUGGCGGCAGGCUUAACACAUGCAAGUCGAGCGGGCCCUUCGGGGUCAGCGGCAGACGGGUGAGUAACACGUGGGAACGUACCCUUUGGUUCGGAAUAACGCUGGGAAACUAGCGCUAAUACCGGAUACCCCCUUUUGGGGAAAGGCUUGCUGCCGAAGGAUCGGCCCGCGUCUGAUUAGCUAGUUGGUGGGGUAAUGGCCUACCAAGGCGACGAUCAGUAGCUGGUCUGAGAGGAUGAUCACCCACACUGGGACUGAGACACGGCCCACACUCCUACGGGAGACAGCAGUGGGGAAUAUUGGACAAUGGGCGCAAGCCUGACCCAGCCAUGCCGCGUGAGUGAUGAAGGCCUUAGGGUUGUAAAGCUCUUUUGUCCGGGACGAUAAUGACGGUACCGGAAGAAUACGCCCCGGCUAACUUCGUGCCAGCAGCCGCGGUAAUACGAAGGGGGCUAGCGUUGCUCGGAAUCACUGGGCGUAAAGGGCGCGUAGGCGGCCAUUCAAGUCGGGGGUGAAAGCCUGUGGCUCAACCACAGAAUUGCCUUCGAUACUGUUUGGCUUGA